rnacentral:tRNA from 1 species
GCCGGAGUGGCGAAAUCGGUAGACGCAGCAGACUCAAAAUCUGCCGAUGGCAACAUCGUGCCGGUUCGAUUCCGGCCUCCGGCA